CAGUAAAAGAAGAGGGCGUGUAAACAAGCGCUUGGUGAAAGGGGAGAGCUAUGUCGGCAGUGACCUUUGGUUUAAGUGGGUAAAUGUUUUACCCAAAAUGUCUGGUGUUGGUAAACUUGAUUUUGUAAUAGGCCCAUACAAACACGCUUAAUGUGCAGGUUACGUGACUAAAAUAACAUUAGAAUAAGUCAUGGGCUGACAAUCUGAAACGGACACUAAACUGUUCCCGCGCUCUGUGUUAUCCACAAAAUGGAGGAGGAGGAGCAGGCGGGGGAAGCGCUGUGCAGAAGAAUGGUUUCUCGUGUCCGAAACAAGCAGCAGCACCCCCAGCUCUCUGCGGAGCAGAGGGGGAGAGACAAAGGAGCCUGUUGGAGACAGGUUGUAUCCGCGGACGAGUAUAAAGAUGAUGGGGAAUGUAACCUCCCUCUCCCAGGCAGUCGAGGGAGAAACCUAACCUCCCCGAAAUAUCUCAUAAAUCAAGGUCCCGAAGUCCACGCCGUCCCUCCUCAACUCCUCUCAAUGCUGAGGCUCAAAACUUUCAAGGAGGACAUGAGACAGGCUGCAGAGUUGGAACUCCAUGAUCCCGCUGUCUGCAGAGUGUGUGAGCAGGAACGGGCUUCUCUGGCCUUGAGAAGUUUUAUCAGGAGGAAGAAGACACAACUGCAGCUCCAAACACUGAAGGGCAGACUAAACACACACUUGAGCUAUGGAGGGUGUGCAAUGUCUCCCAAAGCCCUGCAAUGCCCAUCCCUGGAUUUGGGAAGGAACUACUCAGUGGAGAUGUGCCGGUCUGGGUCACAGCAACCUGGGGUUGCCGUAGCAACGGCUAAGGAACGUGGCGUUGCCCUGGCAACAGAUGAAAUGAGGGGUUACCCUGACAAAAACGCUACAGGAACUCAUUUAGCAGGACCUCACUGUCCCUUUUCAGACAGAUAGCUUCAGUAUGAUGGGCACAGUGUUAAUACAAUGAAAGGGACGAUGUUGUGGUGGAGUCAAGCAUAUUCCUAUCUCUAUUUAGACACAAUGCAUAAACACGCCCAUUUGCCUGAUACACAGUAAUGCAUAUGCUGAUCCUCCGCUUCACUGCUCGGCUACAGCUGUGUUUACGUUCACACUGCUAAAUACCAGAAGCUAAUGUCUAGCCUUUGUUUUGAGUGUAAAAGAAAUAGGACAUCAUAACAAGGUUAAUACAAAACAGCCAUUUAUUUUCUUUAUCACUGUAUUAAAGUUAAACACACAACACUUUUCAGAGCAGAUGAGUCUGUUUUUUUUUUUCUUCCUAUCCUGUCGGUUGUCACUUGAACACUGUAAACAUUAAAACAACAUUGUGUUUCAUCUAACUUUAA